rnacentral:lncRNA from 1 species
UCUCUCAGCACAACAGAAAUCAAAGUAUUCCACCACUGAUAAGUUAAAUCUUUAAACAAUGAUACGACACAUUUCAGACAUUCAGCUGGUGUACAUGAUAAUUCAUCUAAAACCCUGAUUGUAUUUUUCAGCCAAAAUUCAACCCUUUUCGGAUCAUCUUCAGUAGUAGCCCUAAAUUCUUCGGCUUCAUACUUACAAAUUUU